rnacentral:lncRNA from 1 species
AACAAAAGAGAAAAAGAAAAGAAAGAAAACAUGGGAUAUCGAGAGAAACGGAUGUACAGUAGAGUCGGUUGUUUUUUCUCAGUUGAAAAUGAAAGAAAAAAGAAGAUAUGAUAUGGGGAUUCUUUCUUCUGCUGCCUGACUGACCUAUUUUUGUUGAGCACGCGAUGCUUCUGUCUCACACUGCCCGCCAGGUUUAAUUUUCAUGGCUCUUUAAUUUAGGAAUUAGAAUGAUA